rnacentral:rRNA from 1 species
AGUGAACGCUGGCGGUAGGCCUAACACAUGCAAGUCGAACGGCAGCACAGUAAGAGCUUGCUCUUACGGGUGGCGAGUGGCGGACGGGUGAGGAAUACAUCGGAACCUACUUUUUCGUGGGGGAUAACGUAGGGAAACUUACGCUAAUACCGCGUACGACCUACGGGUGAAAGCAGGGGAUCUUCGGACCUUGCGCGAUUGAAUGAGCCGAUGUCGGAUUAGCUAGUUGGCGGGGUAAAGGCCCACCAAGGCGACGAUCCGUAGCUGGUCUGAGAGGAUGAUCAGCCACACUGGAACUGAGACACGGUCCAGACUCCUACGGGAGGCAGCAGUGGGGAAUAUUGGACAAUGGGCGCAAGCCUGAUCCAGCCAUACCGCGUGGGUGAAGAAGGCCUUCGGGUUGUAAAGCCCUUUUGUUGGGAAAGAAAAGCAGCAGGUUAAUACCCCGCUGUUCUGACGGUACCCAAAGAAUAAGCACCGGCUAACUUCGUG